UCAAGCGAACAAGUGCAUGUGGUGGAUGCCUUGGCGAUCACAGGCGAUGAAGGACGCGGUAGCCUGCGAAAAGCUACGGGGAGCUGGCAAACGAGCUUUGAUCCGUAGAUGUCCGAAUGGGGAAACCCACUCCUUAUGGAGUAUCCAUGGCUGAAUACAUAGGCCAUGUGAAGCGAACGCGGUGAACUGAAACAUCUAAGUAACCGCAGGAAAAGAAAUCAACCGAGAUUCCCAAAGUAGUGGCGAGCGAAAUGGGAUGAGCCUUGCACUCUUUAUUUGUAUUGUUAGCCGAACGCUCUGGAAAGUGCGGCCAUAGCAGGUGAUAGCCCUGUAGGCGAAAACAGUAUGAAAGAACUAGGUGUGCGACAAGUAGGGCGGGACACGUGAAAUCCUGUCUGAAGAUGGGGGGACCAUCCUCCAAGGCUAAAUACUCGUGAUCGACCGAUAGUGAACCAGUACCGUGAGGGAAAGGCGAAAAGAACCCCGGGAGGGGAGUGAAAUAGAUCCUGAAACCGCAUGCAUACAAACAGUCGGAGCCUCGUAAGGGGUGACGGCGUACCUUUUGUAUAAUGGGUCAGCGACUUACGUUCAGUAGCAAGCUUAACCGUAUAGGGCAGGCGUAGCGAAAGCGAGUCCGAAUAGGGCGUUCAGUUGCUGGGCGUAGACCCGAAACCAGGUGAUCUAUCCAUGGCCAGGAUGAAGGUGCGGUAACACGUACUGGAGGUCCGAACCCACUAACGUUGAAAAGUUAGGGGAUGAGCUGUGGAUAGGGGUGAAAGGCUAAACAAACCUGGAAAUAGCUGGUUCUCUCCGAAAACUAUUUAGGUAGUGCCUCGUGUCUCACCUUCGGGGGUAGAGCACUGUCAUGGUUGGGGGGUCUAUUGCAGAUUACCCCGCCAUAGCAAACUCCGAAUACCGAAGAGUGCAAUCACGGGAGACAGACAUCGGGUGCUAACGUCCGGUGUCAAGAGGGAAACAACCCAGACCGCCAGCUAAGGUCCCCAAAUAUGGCUAAGUGGGAAACGAAGUGGGAAGGCUAAAACAGUCAGGAGGUUGGCUUAGAAGCAGCCACCCUUUAAAGAAAGCGUAAUAGCUCACUGAUCGAGUCGUCCUGCGCGGAAGAUGUAACGGGGCUAAGCCAUAUACCGAAGCUGCGGAUGCGAGCUAGUCUCGCAUGGUAGGAGAGCGUUCCGUAAGCCUGCGAAGGUGCCUUGUAAAGGGUGCUGGAGGUAUCGGAAGUGCGAAUGCUGACAUGAGUAGCGAUAAAGGGGGUGAAAGGCCCCCUCGCCGUAAGCCCAAGGUUUCCUACGCAACGUUCAUCGGCGUAGGGUGAGUCGGCCCCUAAGGCGAGGCAGAAAUGCGUAGCUGAUGGGAAGCAGGUCAAUAUUCCUGCACCGUCGUUAGAUGCGAUGGGGGGACGGAUCGCGGAAGGUUGUCCGGGUGUUGGAAGUCCCGGUCGCUGCAUUGGAGAAGGCGCUUAGGCAAAUCCGGGCGCAGGAUUCAAGGGUGUGGCGCGAGCUCCCUCGGGAGCGAAGCAAUUGGAAGUGGUUCCAAGAAAAGCCUCUAAGCUUCAGUCUAACGAUGACCGUACCGCAAACCGACACAGGUGGGCGAGAUGAGUAUUCUAAGGCGCUUGAGAGAACUCGGGAGAAGGAACUCGGCAAAUUGGUACCGUAACUUCGGGAUAAGGUACGCCCUUGUAGCUUGACUGGCCUGCGCCAGGAGGGUGAAGGGGUUGCAAUAAACUGGUGGCUGCGACUGUUUAAUAAAAACACAGCACUCUGCAAACACGAAAGUGGACGUAUAGGGUGUGACGCCUGCCCGGUGCCGGAAGAUUAAAUGAUGGGGUGCAAGCUCUUGAUUGAAGUCCCGGUAAACGGCGGCCGUAACUAUAACGGUCCUAAGGUAGCGAAAUUCCUUGUCGGGUAAGUUCCGACCUGCACGAAUGGCGUAACGAUGGCCACACUGUCUCCUCCCGAGACUCAGCGAAGUUGAAGUGUUUGUGAUGAUGCAAUCUACCCGCGGCUAGACGGAAAGACCCCAUGAACCUUUACUGUAGCUUUGCAUUGGACUUUGAACCGAUCUGUGUAGGAUAGGUGGGAGGCUAUGAAACCGGAACGCCAGUUUCGGUGGAGCCGUCCUUGAAAUACCACCCUGGUUUGUUUGAGGUUCUAACCUUGGCCCGUGAUCCGGGUCGGGGACAGUGCAUGGUAGGCAGUUUGACUGGGGCGGUCUCCUCCCAAAGCGUAACGGAGGAGUACGAAGGUACGCUAGGUACGGUCGGAAAUCGUGCUGAUAGUGCAAUGGCAUAAGCGUGCUUAACUGCGAGACCGACAAGUCGAGCAGGUGCGAAAGCAGGUCAUAGUGAUCCGGUGGUUCUGUAUGGAAGGGCCAUCGCUCAACGGAUAAAAGGUACUCUGGGGAUAACAGGCUGAUACCGCCCAAGAGUUCAUAUCGACGGCGGUGUUUGGCACCUCGAUGUCGGCUCAUCUCAUCCUGGGGCUGUAGCCGGUCCCAAGGGUAUGGCUGUUCGCCAUUUAAAGAGGUACGUGAGCUGGGUUUAAAACGUCGUGAGACAGUUUGGUCCCUAUCUGCCGUGGGCGUUGGAUAUUUGAAGGGGGCUGCUCCUAGUACGAGAGGACCGGAGUGGACGAACCUCUGGUGUACCGGUUGUGACGCCAGUCGCAUCGCCGGGUAGCUAUGUUCGGAAGAGAUAACCGCUGAAAGCAUCUAAGCGGGAAACUCGCCUUAAGAUGAGAUAUCCCUGGGGACUUGAUCCCCUUGAAGGGUCGUUCGAGACCAGGACGUUGAUAGGUCGGGUGUGUAAGCGCAGUAAUGCGUUCAGCUAACCGAUACUAAUUGCCCGUAAGGCUUGAUCCU
rnacentral:rRNA from 1 species